rnacentral:rRNA from 1 species
UACGAAGGGGGCUAGCGUUGUUCGGAAUCACUGGGCGUAAAGCGCACGUAGGCGGAUUUUUAAGUCAGGGGUGAAAGCCUGGAGCUCAACUCCAGAACUGCCUUUGAUACUGGAAGUCUCGAGUUCGGAAGAGGUUGGUGGAACUGCGAGUGUAGAGGUGAAAUUCGUAGAUAUUCGCAAGAACACCAGUGGCGAAGGCGGCCAACUGGUCCGAUACUGACGCUGAGGUGCGAAAGCGUGGGGAGCAAACAGG